CAGUGGGGAAUUUUGGACAAGUGAUGGCGCAAGCCUGAUCCAGCCAUGCCGCGUGCAGGAUGAAGGCCUUCGGGUUGUAAACUGCUUUUGUACGGAACGAAAAGCUUCUCUCUAAUACAGGGGGGUGAUGACGGUACCGUAAGAAUAAGCACCGGCUAACUACGUGCCAGCAGCCGCGGUAAUACGUAGGGUGCGAGCGUUAAUCGGAAUUACUGGGCGUAAAGCGUGCGCAGGCGGUUUUGUAAGACAGAGGUGAAAUCCCCGGGCUCAACCUGGGAACUGCCUUUGUGACUGCAAGGCUGGAGUGCGGCAGAGGGGGAUGGAAUUCCGCGUGUAGCAGUGAAAUGCGUAGAUAUGCGGAGGAACACCGAUGGCGAAGGCAAUCCCCUGGGCCUGCACUGACGCUCAUGCACGAAAGCGUGGGGAGCAAACAGGAUUAGAUACCCUGGUAGUCCACGCCCUAAACGAUGUCAACUGGUUGUUGGGGAUUAAUUUCUUCAGUAACGAAGCUAACGCGUGAAGUUGACCGCCUGGAGCGCAGUACGGCCGCAAGGUUGAAACUC
rnacentral:rRNA from 1 species